rnacentral:rRNA from 1 species
AGAGUUUGAUCCUGGCUCAGGACGAACGCUGGCGGCGCGCCUAACACAUGCAAGUCGAACGAGAGAGAAGGAGCUUGCUUCUUCGAUCGAGUGGCGAACGGGUGAGUAACGCGUGAGGAACCUGCCUCAAAGAGGGGGACAACAGUUGGAAACGACUGCUAAUACCGCAUAAGCCCACGGGUCGGCAUCGACCUGAGGGAAAAGGAGCAAUCCGCUUUGAGAUGGCCUCGCGUCCGAUUAGCUAGUUGGUGAGGUAACGGCCCACCAAGGCGACGAUCGGUAGCCGGACUGAGAGGUUGAACGGCCACAUUGGGACUGAGACACGGCCCAGACUCCUACGGGAGGCAGCAGUGGGGAAUAUUGCACAAUGGGGGAAACCCUGAUGCAGCGACGCCGCGUGGAGGAAGAAGGUCUUCGGAUUGUAAACUCCUGUUGUUGAGGAAGAUAAUGACGGUACUCAACAAGGAAGUGACGGCUAACUACGUGCCAGCAGCCGCGGUAAAACGUAGGUCACAAGCGUUGUCCGGAAUUACUGGGUGUAAAGGGAGCGCAGGCGGGAAGACAAGUUGGAAGUGAAAUCUAUGGGCUCAACCCAUAAACUGCUUUCAAAACUGUUUUUCUUGAGUAGUGCAGAGGUAGGCGGAAUUCCCGGUGUAGCGGUGGAAUGCGUAGAUAUCGGGAGGAACACCAGUGGCGAAGGCGGCCUACUGGGCACCAACUGACGCUGAGGCUCGAAAGUGUGGGUAGCAAACAGGAUUAGAUACCCUGGUAGUCCACACCGUAAACGAUGAUUACUAGGUGUUGGAGGAUUGACCCCUUCAGUGCCGCAGUUAACACAAUAAGUAAUCCACCUGGGGAGUACGACCGCAAGGUUGAAACUCAAAGGA